GUACACUCCUGCGGGAGGCAGCAGUGGGGAAUAUUGGACAAUGGGCGCAAGCCUGAUCCAGCCAUGCCGCGUGAGUGAUGAAGGCCCUAGGGUUGUAAAGCUCUUUCACCGGUGAAGAUAAUGACGGUAACCGGAGAAGAAGCCCCGGCUAACUUCGUGCCAGCAGCCGCGGUAAUACGAAGGGGGCUAGCGUUGUUCGGAUUUACUGGGCGUAAAGCGCACGUAGGCGGACUAUUAAGUCAGGGGUGAAAUCCCGGGGCUCAACCCCGGAACUGCCUUUGAUACUGGUAGUCUUGAGUUCGAGAGAGGUGAGUGGAAUUCCGAGUGUAGAGGUGAAAUUCGUAAAUAUUCGGAGGAACACCAGUGGCGAAGGCGGCUCACUGGCUCGAUACUGACGCUGAGGUGCGAAAGCGUGGGGAGCAAACAGGAUUAGAAACCCUAGUAGUCCCAUGA
rnacentral:rRNA from 1 species